CCUACGGGUGGCAGCAGUGGGGAAUAUUGCACAAUGGGGGAAACCCUGAUGCAGCGACGCCGCGUGAGUGACGAAGUAUUUCGGUACGUAAAGCUCUAUCAGCAGGGAAGAAAAACCGGCCUUAGGGCCGCCAGACGGUACCUGACUAAGAAGACCCGGCUAACUACGUGCCAGCAGCAGCGGUAAUAAGUAGGGGGCAAGCGUUAUCCGGAUUUACUGGGUGUAAAGGGUGCGUAGACGGCAGCGCAAGUCUGGAGUGAAAUGCCGGGGCCCAACCCCUGAACUGCUUUGGAAACUGUGCAGCUGGAGUGCAGGAGAGGUAAGCGGAAUUCCUAGUGUAGCGGUGAAAUGCUUAGAUAUUAGGAGGAACACCAGUGGCGAAGGCGGCUUACUGGACUGUAACUGACGUUGAGGCUCGAAAGCGUGGGGAGCAAACAGGAUUAGAUACCCUUGUAGUC
rnacentral:rRNA from 1 species